rnacentral:rRNA from 1 species
UAGGGAAUCUUCGGCAAUGGACGAAAGUCUGACCGAGCAACGCCGCGUGAGUGAAGAAGGUUUUCGGAUCGUAAAACUCUGUUGUUAGAGAAGAACAAGGACGUUAGUAACUGAACGUCCCCUGACGGUAUCUAACCAGAAAGCCACGGCUAACUACGUGCCAGCAGCCGCGGUAAUACGUAGGUGGCAAGCGUUGUCCGGAUUUAUUGGGCGUAAAGCGAGCGCAGGCGGUUUCGUAAGUCUGAUGUGAAAGCCCCCGGCUCAACCGGGGAGGGUCAUUGGAAACUGGGAGACUUGAGUGCAGAAGAGGAGAGUGGAAUUCCAUGUGUAGCGGUGAAAUGCGUAGAUAUAUGGAGGAACACCAGUGGCGAAGGCGUCUCUCUGAUCUGUAACUGACGCUGAGGCUAGAAAGCGUAGGGAGCAAACAGG